GGGCGCGGAGGAAUAUUA
rnacentral:rRNA from 1 species